rnacentral:rRNA from 1 species
CUUUUGCUGGCGACCGGCGCACGGGUGAGUAACACGUAUCCAACCUGCCCUUUACUCGGGGAUAGCCUUUCGAAAGAAAGAUUAAUACCCGAUAGCAUAAUGAUUCCGCAUGGUUUCAUUAUUAAAGGAUUCCGGUAAAGGAUGGGGAUGCGUUCCAUCAGGUUGUUGGUGAGGUAACGGCUCACCAAGCCUUCGAUGGAUAGGGGUUCUGAGAGGAAGGUCCCCCACAUUGGAACUGAGACACGGUCCAA